rnacentral:rRNA from 1 species
CCUACGGGAGGCAGCAGUGGGGAAUAUUGGACAAUGGGCGAAAGCCUGAUCCAGCAAUGCCGCGUGAGUGAUGAAGGCCUUAGGGUUGUAAAGCUCUUUUACCAGGGAUGAUAAUGACAGUACCUGGAGAAUAAGCUCCGGCUAACUCCGUGCCAGCAGCCGCGGUAAUACGGAGGGAGCUAGCGUUGUUCGGAAUUACUGGGCGUAAAGCGUACGUAGGCGGUUAUUCAAGUCAGAGGUGAAAGCCUGGAGCUCAACUCCAGAACUGCCUUUGAAACUAGAUAGCUAGAAUCACGGAGAGGUUAGUGGAAUUCCGAGUGUAGAGGUGAAAUUCGUAGAUAUUCGGAAGAACACCAGUGGCGAAGGCGACUAACUGGACGUGUAUUGACGCUGAGGUACGAAAGCGUGGGGAGCAAACAGGAUUAGAUACCCUGGUAGUCCACGCCGUAAACGAUGAUAACUAGCUGUUCGGUCUCUACGAGACUGAGUGCGCAGCUACGACAUUAAGUUAUCCGUCCGUCGGGAGGUACGGUCGCGAAGAAUUAAAACUUAAAAUUAGUAAGUUAGUACGGCGUGAGACGUGCCGAACGGACGACGACGAGGGAGGUAGG